AAGUCGUAACAAGGUUUCCGUAGGUGAACCUGCGGAAGGAUCAUUACCGAGUAAGGGUCUCUCAGGCCCGAUCUCCCACCCUCUGUGUACCUACCUAUGUUGCUUUGGCGGGCCCGCUGGGGCAACCCACCGUCGGCUUCGGCUGGCGAGCGCCCGCCAGAGACCACGCAAACUCUGCUCAUCAGUGUCGUCUGAGCAAAACAUACAAUAGUUAAAACUUUCAACAACGGAUCUCUUGGUUCUG
rnacentral:misc_RNA from 1 species